UGGGGAAUAUUGGGCAAUGGGCGCAAGCCUGACCCAGCAACGCCGCGUGAAGGAAGAAGGCUUUCGGGUUGUAAACUUCUUUUGUCAGGGAAGAGCAGAAGACGGUACCUGACGAAUAAGCCACGGCUAACUACGUGCCAGCAGCCGCGGUAAUACGUAGGUGGCAAGCGUUGUCCGGAUUUACUGGGUGUAAAGGGCGUGUAGGCGGGAUUGCAAGUCAGAUGUGAAAUUCCGGGGCUCAACCCCGGAACUGCAUUUGAAACUGUAGUUCUUGAGUACUGGAGAGGCAGGCGGAAUUCCUAGUGUAGCGGUGAAAUGCGUAGAUAUUAGGAGGAACACCAGUGGCGAAGGCGGCCUGCUGGACAGCAACUGACGCUGAGGCGCGAAAGCGUGGGGAGCAAACAGG
rnacentral:rRNA from 1 species